UUCGGGAUUCGGGUUUCGGGUUGUAGUCUCGAGACUUAUACCGUUCGCCGUCUCCUAGAGAUUUGGGGGCGUCGCUCUUGUACCGGCGAUGGCGAAGCCGGAGACGAUGAGCAUGUCGUUUCUUUCGCCGGCGAUGAAACGGUGUCGCAGUGGAUUUUUGUGGAUGUAUGAGUUCCUGCAGAGCCUGAUGAACUAGGUGAAGGAGUUCCAUCAGGGGCGUUACCUUGCAUUUGGCGCAGUUUUUCUAUCUACAAAAUAGAACCAAGAUAGUUAUUGCUGUAGGAAUGAUAUCAGAUGAAAUGUUUGAAUGGUGAUAGUAGUGAGACUUGUUUGCAGCAGCAGCCCAAUCUGUAGCAUACCUCUGCUUUUAGCCUGGCAUUUUCAAUGCGAAGUUGUUGCUCCUCUGUUGCCAUGAUAUUAUCCUUGCUUAUGGUCGUAAAACCACAGUGGGGACAGCAAGACUUCUUGAUUGUCUCCCUCAUUGCCCGGUUCUCCUCUUGUAAUUUCUCUAUCUCAGACUUAAGUAGUGAAUUCUCAUGCCUCUCCUGCACUGCCUGAAGUCAAAACCGUACGGUGUUUAGUUAGAAUAAUCUGUUUUCAACUCGUUACCUUGAUCUGGGUUCGUCGAUUUUGGAACCAGAACUUGACUUGCCUAGUUGAAAGCCCCAGCUGCUUGCUCAACUGCUGCCUCUGCUUUUCAUCUGGAUGAGUAGUGUGCCUGUGGUACUUCUUCCUCUUCAGCUUGUUCCCAGCCUCCCUGUCAGUGUCAAGAGAUUCAUUUGACUCCUGCUCUUCAUCAGACCGAUCUGCUGGCCCAGAGUUCUCGCCGCUGAUCCCUGCCUGCUCUCCACAGUGCCCUCCACCACCACUUCCUUCCUCUCCAUCCUCCACCUCAGCGGCUUCCAAUGCAUUGUUCCUGAACACACCUGCCUAUUGAUAUUUCCAAAACGAUGUAACCAAAUAGAGAGACGUUAUAUGAUCAUGAAACACGCAAAAAGCCUCUAGUCCAAAAGCAAGUAAAAGAGUACUUACAAGGGAGAGGGAGAGAGCUGGAGACGCAAAGAAGUCCUUUACUGGGGGAUUGCCGCGGUUCAUGCUACUGCUCGGACAAUUGCAAAUGUAAUCAGAAGCUGCAAUGUGGAGACACUUGAGAGAGAGCAAAUAGCAUCAAGAGGGAAAGUUGAAGAAGGUGGAACAUGGAGAAAGAGGAAUUAAAUGAUGAAAAACAAAGACUGGGUUGAUCAUCAACAAAAGGGUCUAAUGGAGGACUGUUAGGGUUGAAUGGCAGCUGACAACAAUGGUGGCAUCAUCAGCAUCCAUGGGCACUUCAUAUUAAAUUCUACGGAUUCAACAAAUUCAACUGUCUCCACCAUGCUACUGUGAAAUUUUUGCUGAACCAGAGCAUAAUUUAGAAGGCAAAAGAACAAUCGAUCAAGAAUGCAGGGAACCCCACCCCCAUUUUAUGUCAUUUUAUUGCUCCUUGGUGUGCUUUUGGCCUGUGUUCUUUAGGUAUGAAUGACAUGCAAAUGUUAGGUAAUGGUUUAGUGAACUUGCCCAGUCCAAUAAGUUCAACUGUUUUUGAUUUAGAAACUACGCGAAAAGUGUAUUCAAGUGAACAACAUCAUUUGUAACAUAUUAUGAUGUUUGACCAACUAAUUUCUUGCAUAGAUCAUGUUUUCAUAUAGUUA